AUUGAACGCUGGCGGCAUGCCUUACACAUGCAAGUCGAACGGUAACGCGGGGCAACCUGGCGACGAGUGGCGAACGGGUGAGUAAUGUAUCGGAACGUGCCCAGUUGUGGGGGAUAACUGCUCGAAAGAGCAGCUAAUACCGCAUACGACCUGAGGGUGAAAGCGGGGGAUCGCAAGACCUCGCGCAAUUGGAGCGGCCGAUAUCAGAUUAGGUAGUUGGUGGGGUAAAGGCUCACCAAGCCAAUGAUCUGUAGCUGGUCUGAGAGGACGACCAGCCACACUGGGACUGGGACACGGCCCAGACUCCUACGGGAGGCAGCAGUGGGGAAUUUUGGACAAUGGACGCAAGUCUGAUCCAGCCAUGCCGCGUGCGGGAAGAAGGCCUUCGGGUUGUAAACCGCUUUUGUCAGGGAAGAAACGCUCUGGGUUAAUACCUCGGGGUAAUGACGGUACCUGAAGAAUAAGCACCGGCUAACUACGUGCCAGCCGCCGCGGUAAUAC
rnacentral:rRNA from 1 species